CUAUAUGUUACAGGCAACAAUAUGUCAGGAUUAGUCUACAUUUCUCCUGCCAACAACCCCUCAAAUGAGAUGCCGAAUGAGCUGUUUCCUGCUGCCAUUGAUGCGACUGACAUGACGGAAUCAACCGAGGACACCUCUAAAGAGUUAAUUUUAUGCAACUAUUUAUUGGUGUCUUCAGGUAGGGGUUUUAUUGGUUCUUCUCCAAUUGUCAGUGAAUUAUAGAAAUUCAGGAACUACGUUAACAUGAUUCAUUUAAACUUAUCGCAAUGCCGGCUUGGGAUCAUGCUGUUGGUAUUAUGUGUAC